AUACGUAGGGUGCAAGCGUUGUCCGGAAUUAUUGGGCGUAAAGAGCUCGUAGGCGGCUUGUCGCGUCUGCUGUGAAAUCCCGGGGCUCAACUCCGGGUCUGCAGUGGGUACGGGCAGGCUAGAGUGCGGUAGGGGAGAUUGGAACUCCUGGUGUAGCGGUGGAAUGCGCAGAUAUCAGGAAGAACACCGAUGGCGAAGGCAGAUCUCUGGGCCGCUACUGACGCUGAAGCUCGAAGGUGCGGGUAUC
rnacentral:rRNA from 1 species